rnacentral:tRNA from 1 species
UGGGCUGGGGCUCAGUGGUAGAGCGCUUACCUACCAUGUGUGAGGUCCUGGGCUCCAUUCUCAGCACUUCAU